rnacentral:rRNA from 1 species
AUGGCGACGCCGCUACGGGACCCCCUGCCUACCUCGGCAUGCCUAGUCCGUGCCACAUGGUGGCCGAGAUGCGGCCGCCCAUGCUCUGUCGGUGCCGUCUCAUCCUCUUCAUCAAGAGGAGGCAUCUCUGUCGGACCACGCCUCCCCAUCUACUGCACUCUAAUGGUGGAUGAGGCCGAGGUGAGCAUCAUGACGAUGAGCAGGCCUGUGGCUGAUACAGAGAGCUCCUCGAACGGGAAGUAG